rnacentral:rRNA from 1 species
AUACGGAGGGGGCUAGCGUUGUUCGGAAUUACUGGGCGUAAAGCGCGCGUAGGCGGCUUAUCAAGUCAGGCGUGAAAGCCCCGGGCUCAACCCGGGAAUUGCGCUUGAUACUGGCAGGCUCGAGGCCGGGAGAGGGUAGUGGAAUUCCCAGUGUAGAGGUGAAAUUCGUAGAUAUUGGGAAGAACACCGGUGGCGAAGGCGGCUACCUGGACCGGUACUGACGCUGAGGUGCGAAAGCGUGGGGAGCAAACAGGAUUAGAAACCCCAGUAGUCC